AUUGAACGCUGGCGGAAUGCUUUACACAUGCAAGUCGAACGGCAGCACGGACUUCGGUCUGGUGGCGAGUGGCGAACGGGUGAGUAAUACAUCGGAACGUGCCCAGUCGCGGGGGAUAACGUAGCGAAAGCUACGCUAAUACCGCAUACGAUCUAAGGAUGAAAGCGGGGGAUCGCAAGACCUCGCGCGAUUGGCGCGGCCGAUGGCCGAUUAGGUAGUUGGUGGGGUAAAGGCUCACCAAGCCGACGAUCUGUAGCUGGUCUGAGAGGACGACCAGCCACACUGGGACUGAGACACGGCCCAGACUCCUACGGGAGGCAGCAGUGGGGAAUUUUGGACAAUGGGCGCAAGCCUGAUCCAGCCAUUCCGCGUGCAGGAUGAAGGCCCUCGGGUUGUAAACUGCUUUUGUACGGAACGAAAAGGCUCUGGUUAAUACCUGGGGCUCAUGACGGUACCGUAAGAAUAAGCACCGGCUAACUACGUGCCAGCCGCCGCAGUAA
rnacentral:rRNA from 1 species